rnacentral:rRNA from 1 species
AUUGAACGCUGGCGGCAUGCUUUACACAUGCAAGUCGAACGGCAGCGCGGGCUUCGGCCUGGCGGCGAGUGGCGAACGGGUGAGUAAUACAUCGGAACGUGCCCAGUAGUGGGGGAUAGCUCGGCGAAAGCCGGAUUAAUACCGCAUACGGCCUGAGGGUGAAAGCGGGGGAUCUUCGGACCUCGCGCUAUUGGAGCGGCCGAUGGCAGAUUAGCUAGUUGGUGGGGUAAAGGCCUACCAAGGCGACGAUCUGUAGCUGGUCUGAGAGGACGACCAGCCACACUGGGACUGAGACACGGCCCAGACUCCUACGGGAGGCAGCAGUGGGGAAUUUUGGACAAUGGGCGAAAGCCUGAUCCAGCAAUGCCGCGUGUGUGAUGAAGGCCUUCGGGUUGUAAAGCACUUUUGGCGGGAACGAAAAGGACUGUGCCAAUACCACGGUUCGAUGACGGUACCCGCAGAAUAAGCGCCGGCUAACUACGUGC